CACUUUCAUGGCUAGAAACUUAACUAACUCAUAAGUAACAUUAUUGUAACACUUUGACAUUAAGUAACACUUGUUUGUAACAGUUUGAUAUUAGGUAACACUUAAUUGUAACACUUGAAUAUUAAGUAACACUUUAUUGUAACACUAUUAAGAGUAAAAAAAACACCCUUUAUAAAGAAAAUUUGUCAAGUAUUUUAUGUACUAGAAAUAAAAACAUUAAAAAAAAUUAAAAAUAAAAACACCCUUUAUCUUUACUUUAUACAAUAUUAUUCAUUUUUCCUCAAAAAAACAAUUACAGUAUUAUUCAUUCAAGGAAUUAUUUCAUUCAAUUCAAUUAACCCACUCUUUUUCUUUCUCUUUCCUCGUAGAGAAGAUGAAGAGUGACUUCCACCACCUUGCUCAAGCCGACGCCGGGCAGCUACCACCACCUCUACCUUAAGCUGAAACCGCACCACCACCACUAAUUGGCACCAUCGGCUCCUCUAAUUGUGCUCGAAGUGUAGCUACUUUACUCCAUGAGAUGAAACGCCGAGAAAGGGAUUGCCGUUUUGGAGUCAUUUCCAUGUGCCUCUGUUUUUCAGAGAGGUGAUCAUGCUAACGGAUUAACUAGUAGUUGCGAUGAGAUGGGGCAUAAUAGCCCCUUGUCUUUAGGAUUCCUAGUCUUUCUACUGUGAAAAAGAGUACACUUGUGUAUUUGUAUUUAUACUAAUGUAAAAUAUAUUCAUUCAAUAAAUUUAUUUUCAAUGUUAAA